GCCCAUCCACGCUCGGAUGCCUUGCCUCGUGCAUUGCUUGAUGCGGACACUGGCCCUCCGAGUCGCGAGAUGCGGUGGGCUGAAGUGUACGGCCGUCGGAUGGGGCUGGGAGCGGCGAGUGGUGGGCUGCUGCGCACGUCGCCCCCGACCCCCCUGUCGGCGUAUGGUUUGUUGGUUUGAACCCUUAACGAGGAGUUUGCUGUUGCGGCAUUACGUCGUGUGGCAUCUUCGGACC
rnacentral:misc_RNA from 1 species